GCUCUGUUAGUCUAAAAGUUAGGAUGGUGGCUUUUCAUGCCAUAGGUUGAGUCAAGAAGCUUAACAGUGUU
rnacentral:tRNA from 1 species